CCUACGGGAGGCAGCAGUGGGGAAUUUUGGACAAUGGGCGCAAGCCUGAUCCAGCCAUGCCGCGUGCAGGAUGAAGGCCUUCGGGUUGUAAACUGCUUUUGUACGGAACGAAAAGACUCUGGUUAAUACCUGGGGUUCAUGACGGUACCGUAAGAAUAAGCACCGGCUAACUACGUGCCAGCAGCCGCGGUAAUACGUAGGGUGCGAGCGUUAAUCGGAAUUACUGGGCGUAAAGCGUGCGCAGGCGGUUAUAUAAGACAGAUGCGAAAUCCCCGGGCUCAACCUGGGAACUGCAUUUGUGACUGUAUAGCUAGAGUACGGUAGAGGGGGAUGGAAUUCCGCGUGUAGCAGUGAAAUGCGUAGAUAUGCGGAGGAACACCGAUGGCGAAGGCAAUCCCCUGGACCUGUACUGACGCUCAUGCACGAAAGCGUGGGGAGCAAACAGGAUUAGAUACCCUGGUAGUCCACGCCCUAAACGAUGUCAACUGGUUGUUGGGUCUUCACUGACUCAGUAACGAAGCUAACGCGUGAAGUUGACCGCCUGGGGAGUACGGCCGCAGGUUGAAACUCAAAUGAAUUGACGG
rnacentral:rRNA from 1 species